rnacentral:rRNA from 1 species
GGUUUCCGUAGGUGAACCUGCGGAAGGAUCAUUCACACGU